CCUGAAGAUGACCACUGUUCUUCAGCUCCUGCUUCCGGUCCAGCACGGUCUCGCUCUUCACGUAGAACGCCUUCGUCUCCUGGAGCAGUUCCACCGCGCUCUUCCGCUUCCCUGUAGCACGUGACGAGGAAACCAGACGGCUCAAAUCGCUGGUUCCGACAGAGAACAGUGAGGAAUCUUUGGUGUUCGAGGGAGUAUUUCCAGUGGAAAAUUACGAUUCGGUUCUUUAAUAUGGGACUUCUUUCGCGAUUGGACAGGAUGUUACAGGAAGUUUAAUACGACAGGAUAUAUAGGGUCGUUGUUAAGGAUACAUUUGUACUUUUGGAGACUCCAGGCGCAACAUCGUCGCAAAGUGUUUCUCAAGAAUGUGAAAUAUGCAUGGAAGCUAUCUGUAACCAGGUACACCGGUCUUUUUCGCGUGCAAUGUGAUAUUGCAAAUAUUCCUUCAGCGCUUGUGCGUUUUCUCAGAGGUAUAUCACAACUAUGUGAAAAUAAAUGUACUUGAGGUAAAGUAUUGACACACUUUAUUAAUACUAUAUAACAACGAUAACCUCGAGUAUUAUGAAAUUGCAAGCAGUAAAAAGAUAUCCUAUAAUUUAAGGUACUAAAUUAAUGAAUAAUUUAAGUUAUGAAAUUUAUCGUUUGCCAUGAAUAAAAUAAUAAUAUUUACACUAAAUAUAUUCUCAUCGUUAUGAUAUAACAAUAUGGCAUACAAAUAACAAGAACGUUUGUAAUAGUACGAGUAUAUACUAAAAUGAAGGUGAUGCAACGUGAAUUACUAAAGUUAGCAUUAUAUAACAAACCACAAGCGUAAAAUCAACGUACAAGCGUCGACUGAAAUCGUGGAGAGAGGAAGCAUUUCACCUGUGAAUCGAACUGUAAUACCUAUUUCAAAAACCUCGCAAAAUAUUAUGAAUGCAGGCAGCGUUGUCAAUAGUUUCACUUUAACAUAAUUUCCGAAUAGCCACAAGCACAUCCUGUUGUGGUAACGACCCACCGCAAACAAUGAAGAAAAAAUACAGUCGAGCCAGUAGUUUGGGAAAUGGAACGAAUAAAAAUCGCGAAAUUUAUGCUAAUCGUUCACCACGUAAAAAAUGGUAAUACUGUUUACAGAACAAUUGUAGCACUUUAUUUUAUUCUGAAAAUAUAUUGAAAAAAUAUUCAUACAGAAUUAAUACAAAAUACUGAUUUUUCGAUAUUUUAUUCUUGAAACACUACCUACGAGAAAAUGACAAAAAUCGUAUAUUUCUAUUCGAAGAAAUUUUUAUUUCUAUGUUUGCGUGCAUACGAGAGAUUCAGUAGGAAAGGAGUACAAGAUGGAUUUUUUCUAAGGACGAGAUAAAUAGAGGAAAGAAUAUAUUAAAACGUAGAUCCUAGAGGACUUUAUCUUCAAUUUCCACGUCUUUAUGAGUGCCUAUGAAAACGCGUUUUAACGUUGGAAAACAGAUUUUUCUAUUAAAGUUUCAUUUUACCUGCACUUUUCCACUUCUCUUUCAUAUUUCUUAACCCGGCUACGAUCUUGAAAUUUUGAUAUCUCAACAUUUUUCUCAUUACAGUAAAGGAACAGAAACAUUUCUAGAGUUUUAAGAGCCAAUAUAAAAUUUGUACGAGAAUAAUUUAAUUUUCAUAUGCUGUUCGAAUUUCAGAUAUUUUUCAAACUUGGAAAAAUACAAAGGGAUCGGAAUUGACCGAAACAACGCAACAAGAUUAAAUUAGUGAUUUUAUCGGUUACAUAGUCAAAUAACAUACACUGUACAGGCUAUACAACGAUUUAGCGUUUCACUUAGUAUUCGAAAAAUCCCAUGUAAACGACACAAAAUUGACAAAUCUAAUUGUUGCAGGUUCCUGAUUCCAACAUACAUACGUAAACAAUUUGAAAAGUGAUGGCUGGACGCAUCGUUGCAUUCGUCGAUCGAUCGCGCCACGAGAGGAAGACGUAAAUGAAAGUGACGAAACGGGUCAGCAACGACAUAAUGGAGAACAGUAAAUGGAAUGGAGGAUGCACUUUUUUCCGAGCAAUGGGGAACGGUUUCCAGCGAUAUGUUCGUGUUGAUGAACGAUAACGACAUGCAACUGAACCGGAAGCCAAGUAGACGCACAAGCUUUCGUGUUGGUUAACAAUAUUUUCACCUAACGUGGCGACCACCUGAGAAAAAUGUUUCCACGCUGUGCGAAUGAAAGUAACAAGAUUAGAUAGUCGACAGAAAUAAACGAAGGACAAAUUACGCAUAAGAAUCUUCUGCAACCGCCAUCGAAGAAGCUACCGUGUACUGUACCAGGACAUUAUAAAUAAUUCACGAUGACACUCUAAUUACGUUAGGAACUUUUAUCAGUGGGAAUCCAUUUUUCAUCUCGAAUCAUCGCAGAUCCUGGCCACCUUCAACCUUGUAGAUACGAUGGUUGAGGUACCUUGAAUAAUUAAUUGUUAUAUCGGGUUGUUUUAUGAUUUUAAUUUUACUACAGUUUUUCAAGGAAUCUAAUUCUCAGGUGUUCUAUCUAGCGGAGGUUACAUAGUCCGUAAAUUGAGAAAACUGAGUUUAAAGUUUAUGGAGUAUAAUACUAUCAUAAGGAGUCAGGAGUUAAAAAGAAACUGAAUAUUUGUUGCUUUCUAAGUAGAAUUUCUAUCAUAUUACCAAUGAAUUAAUGUUCUUUACGCCAAUAAGAGAUAUGACAAUAUGGAUAAUUACAUUUUUUUUUUAUAAAUGAAGUUAAAGCAACGAAGGACUAGGGCAACGAAUUAUUAAUAUACGUGGUCCUUCAUUUCGAUUGUAUUAAAAUUCCUCUUGAAGCAUUAACGAUCUUUUUAUCCAAUUCUGUAAAUAUACUAAAUAUUGAAUGCUUUGAUAUUUUCUACGCUCCCCAUGGGUUGUACAGAUUAACCCUUCUGCAUCUAUAUCUCGCGAUGUCGUUUACGCUUCGAGAGGCGUUUCUUUUCAUUGACAUACCAGACAUUUCAUCCGCGGAUGUGAAAGGGUUAACGAUCCUAAACUCAUAUCAGGAUAUCUCCUACGUUCAAAAAUGUCUUGUUUCAUUUUUCUUUAAACGUUGACGCGAUAUUUAAAAUGUAUUAAGAUAAAUAUAAUUGCGUACCAUAGAAUAGAUAACUGUUACUAAUACGAUAAAAACUGUUUAGUACAGAAGUUACUAAAAUUCAUAGCGCAUCAAUUUGAAAGAUUCUUUUAUUCGCCAUAUGUACAUAUAACUGUCAUAUUUUGACCUUUUCAAUAUGUUUUACAUUUUAGUCAGGCCUAUCGUUAAAUAUUGAAAACCAGAUACGCGUGUUAUCUCGUCCCUGGAGUCAUAUGAACGAUAUUGCGUCGCGAGAUACAGUGUCUGUGAAUGUGAAUAGGUCAAACAACGAAAGGAUUAACAGACCUACUGGCUGGUUCGAUGUUUUUGCCGCGUUACGCCAAUGCAGAGCGACAGUGGUGCACGUGUACGCACUUUACACGCGCGUUCGGGUUAAAGUGUCUCGUUGAAGAGGACGAGAUGGCAAGCUCGAGCAUUAAAUGACGAGCAGUCCGACAUCUGCGGCUUCUCCCGUUUUCGCGUGCCACGCACGCUGAUGAUUGAUGACAAGCGUCUGACACGCCUUAGGGAGCUGAUACUCUCGCCUCGAAACAAUCAACGAUUCGAUCACGAUAGCCAGGCAGAGUGGAAUCGAUUGGCCGAAUUGUUGGCAAUUUAAAUUCAAUGCACUUUAAUGAUAUGGCACCCACAAUACAGAUGCAUCGAUGGGAAUUAAUUAGUCGCUAUUGAAAUAUAAAUAGAUGGCUAUGUCUGUGACAAAUCUGAUUUUCUCAUAGAACUCGUUACUUUUUGUUGUAACUUCUAUUUGAAAUAUAUCAUUAAUCUUGAAAA